rnacentral:tRNA from 3 species
GGAAGGGUGGCCGAGUGGUUUAAGGCACCGGUCUUGAAAACCGGCGUACCUGCAAGGGUACCGUGGGUUCGAAUCCCACCCCUUCCGCCA